AGAAAAAUUAGCUUAGCAUAUUGUUGGAAUUAAACACGUAAAAUUGAAAAGACAUCACCGAAAAAUUGACGGAAUGUAACUAAAUCUCCACUUUUUCUUCGCUCCCAAACGUGUAUGUGUCUCUCUUCCCAAGGAGCCACCUUGUUUACUCCAUUGGCACCGUCAAUUUGUUUCUAAUUUUCAGUUGGCUGUCUUCUUCUAUGUAUAUAAAAUUCCCAAAGUGGCUAUUUUUAUUGACUCCUAAAAGGGACCAAUUUUCUCUUCAACUAGGCUUCCGUUUUCUGUGUAUAUAUGAUCAAUUCCCAGGCAGCUGCAUUGUUUGACCUCCAAAACAAAAUCCAAUUGUUCUAUAAUUCUCACCCAAUUUCCAUGUCUUCUAUAUCUAACUUCAGCCCCCUUUUUCUGUGGUCUUCUUCUCUUAUCUCUCCUGCCGUCCCAAUUGAAGUGAAAUUCCAAUUGUUAUUUUCUUUUCU
rnacentral:lncRNA from 1 species